rnacentral:rRNA from 1 species
GGAUGCGAUCAUACCAGCACUAACGCACCGGAUCCCAUCAGAACUCCGAAGUUAAGCGUGCUUGGACGAGAGUAGUACUAGGAUGGGUGACCCCCUGGGAAGUCCUCGUGUUGCAUCCC